rnacentral:lncRNA from 1 species
GGGUAUAUAAGUGGUAGACUUGAAAGUUGUGAUUGGUAGAUAUACCAAUAGUUGUGUUGGGUACUUACAAAGCCUAGGGAGGCAUGCUUUAUGAGUUAUUUUCUUGGAAUGAUUGUGUUAUAGUUUUGGGUUUCCAAUUAUAGGUUGGGGUUUCUUAUUAUAGUGGUUGGUUAUGGUUUUCCCAUGCCCUUUACUUAUAGUUUUCAUAUAUAGCCGAG